GUAGGUGACCUGCGGAGGGAUCAUUACAAGUGACCCCGGUCUAACCACCGGGAUGUUCAUAACCCUUUGUUGUCCGACUCUGUUGCCUCCGGGGCGACCCUGCCUUCGGGCGGGGGCUCCGGGUGGACACUUCAAACUCUUGCGUAACUUUGCAGUCUGAGUAAACUUAAUUAAUAAAUUAAAACUUUUAACAACGGAUCUCUUGGUUCUGGCAUCGAUGAAGAACGCAGCGAAAUGCGAUAAGUAAUGUGAAUUGCAGAAUUCAGUGAAUCAUCGAAUCUUUGAACGCACAUUGCGCCCCCUGGUAUUCCGGGGGGCAUGCCUGUUCGAGCGUCAUUUCACCACUCAAGCCUCGCUUGGUAUUGGGCAACGCGGUCCGCCGCGUGCCUCAAAUCGACCGGCUGGGUCUUCUGUCCCCUAAGCGUUGUGGAAACUAUUCGCUAAAGGGUGUUCGGGAGGCUACGCCGUAAAACAACCCCAUUUCUAAGGUUGACCUCGGAUCAGGUAGGGAUACCCGCUGAACUUAAGCAUAUCAAUAAGCGGAGGAAAAGAAACCAACAGGGAUUGCUCUAGUAACGGCGAGUGAAGCAGCAAUAGCUCAAAUUUGAAAUCUGGCGUCUUCGACGUCCGAGUUGUAAUUUGUAGAGGAUGCUUCUGAGUAACCACCGACCUAAGUUCCUUGGAACAGGACGUCAUAGAGGGUGAGAAUCCCGUAUGCGGUCGGAAAGGUGCUCUAUACGUAGCUCCUUCGACGAGUCGAGUUGUUUGGGAAUGCAGCUCUAAAUGGGAGGUAAAUUUCUUCUAAAGCUAAAUAUUGGCCAGAGACCGAUAGCGCACAAGUAGAGUGAUCGAAAGAUGAAAAGCACUUUGGAAAGAGAGUUAAAAAGCACGUGAAAUUGUUAAAAGGGAAGGGAUUGCAACCAGACUUGCUCGCGGUGUUCCGCCGGUCUUCUGACCGGUCUACUCGCCGCGUUGCAGGCCAGCAUCGUCUGGUGCCGCUGGAUAAGACUUGAGGAAUGUAGCUCCCUCGGGAGUGUUAUAGCCUCUUGUGAUGCAGCGAGCGCCGGGCGAGGUCCGCGCUUCGG
rnacentral:rRNA from 1 species